GUCACUUUGCAUCGGCUCAUGCUUCAGCGCUCCGAGUGUUUAUAGCAUUCAGACUCAAACACUUUAUAACACACUGCUGUUUACCACGGUACAAACCCAACAAACACCAUGAAUCUCUUCAGCAGCUUCAUCUGGAUUCUGGCAGCUUUUAUUCCAGCAUCCAGAGGAAUCACUGUGACUCAGCCUGAAGCUGUGACUGUUUCUGAAGGACAAAACGCCAAAAUAGAGUGUAAAACUGAUACUGGGAUAUAUAGCUGGGGUUUAGCUUGGUAUCAGCAGAAACAUGGAGACGCUCCUAAACUCAUCAUUACUGGUGUAAAUGAUCUCUAUGAUGAGAGUUUAAGUCGAUUCAGUGGGAAUGGAGAAGAAGGUGGGACUGAUUUCACUCUGACCAUCAGUGGAGUCCAGACUGAAGAUGCUGGACAUUAUUAUUGUCAGAGUUUCCAUUGCAGAACAGAUUCUGAUGGUGGUUGUGAGGGUGAUCCAGUGUUCACACAGUGAUAAAGAGUCGUACAAAAACCUCCGUCAGUCAGAGUCACAGUGACUGAACUGAUACUGCAGCUGCUCAAAGGAGGAUCUGAAACAACUUCGUCACACAAACAUCUGAAAUAAAAUCAUCUAAAUUAA